ensembl:lncRNA
AGACAGGUGUUACAGAUGUCUAUGAAACAAUUAAAUCAUCCAAGGACUCUCAAGAAGAUGAUGAAGAAGGAUAUGAUGAUGUGGUUCCCUCCGACACUAGAGCAGAGGAACAUGUGUAACUGAGGAAAAGAAAGGGAGAGAUGAUAUGCAAUAAUGCAUUUGUACUCUUAAUGUGUUUUCUAAAGCAGUGCCAUUUCCUCAAAUGUGUAAUUUGUAAACAUAAACAGCCAUAUACAUCUAUGAAUAUGUUUGGAAAGGACAGAAUAACAACAAUGGCCUAAUCAAUCCUUCAUUUUAGUUGUUUUAAGAUUGUGAAAGACUGAGUUCAACUCCCAUAAGAUAGGCUAGGUGGCAGCCAAUUAGCCUCUGUGUUACUGUAACUAUUUACAUAUUGCUCAACAUCAUAACACCUUUUUUAUUUGAAUGUAUUUUUAAAAGUUCACUUUAUCUUCUGUAAAAAUAUAUAGAUGUAUUUCAGGCAUUAUUGAUUGCUUAUUACUCUUUAACUUGAUAUAUUUCACAAAACCGUUAUUUUACAUGAUUGUC